ensembl:snRNA U2 U2 spliceosomal RNA
AGUACUUCUCUGCCUUUUGGCUAAGAUCAAGUGUGGUAUCUGUUCUUAUCAGUUUAAUAUCUGAUAUGUCCCCUACCCGGGGACCAUAUAUGUUAUGGAAUUUUCUAUCCUUAGGCUACACAUGGUCACGUGUGGGCCUUGAGGUCCUCGGCAGUAUUAAUUGUUUGUCUUUGACUAGGUGCCACCAUAU